CCCUUAGAGUUUGAUCCUGGCUCAGGACGAACGCUGGCGGCGCGCUUAACACAUGCAAGUCGAGCGAGAACCAGGGCUUCGGCCCUGGGGAAAGCGGCGAACGGGUGAGUAACACGUGAGUAAUCCACCCUCGGCACCGGGAUAGCCCGGGGAAACCCGGAUUAAUACCGGAUGGCCCGCCGGCCUCUUGAGGCCGGCGGAAAAGGUAGCUUCGGCCUCCGGCCGAGGACGAGCUCGCGGCGGAUUAGCUUGUUGGCGGGGUAACGGCCCACCAAGGCGACGAUCCGUAGCUGGUCUGAGAGGACGAUCAGCCACACUGGGACUGAGACACGGCCCAGACUCCUACGGGAGGCAGCAGUGGGGAAUCUUGCGCAAUGGGCGAAAGCCUGACGCAGCGACGCCGCGUGAGGGAAGAAGGCCUUCGGGUUGUAAACCUCUUUCAGUAGGGACGAAGUCACUCGGGUUAAUAGCCCAGAGGGUGACGGUACCUACAGAAGAAGCCCCGGCUAACUACGUGCCAGCAGCCGCGGUAAUACGUAGGGGGCAAGCGUUGUCCGGAUUCAUUGGGCGUAAAGAGCGUGUAGGCGGCCUGGUAGGUCGGUUGUGAAAACUCGAGGCUCAACCUCGAGACGUCGACCGAAACCACCUGGCUAGAGUCCGGAAGAGGAGAGUGGAAUUCCUGGUGUAGCGGUGAAAUGCGCAGAUAUCAGGAAGAACACCCGUGG
rnacentral:rRNA from 1 species